CCAACUUUCCCAAAUGCUUGAUAAACCCUACGUUUCCAACUUUUUCAAAUGCUUGAUAAACCCUACGUUCCCAUCCUACGUUCAAAAUACCUCAAACCUUUGAGAUCUGAAAAUCAAGAACAAGCUUACACCUACUCGUGCUCGCGAUUCUUCUUCCAAUUUACGCGUACUCGUGCUCGGUAGCUGCGGUUCGUUCACCUACAAUUUAUUUUUCCUUUGAUUUCAUUCUUCUACGGUUCUUCUAAAAAAUAAGGUUAGGGUUUUAUUGUAAUUUCUAUUCCAUCUUCCUGCACUCUGCUCCUCAAUGAGUUGUGGUCUGUGAUUCAUUCUGUAUUGUUGUACUGCUGUCAUGUUUCAGGUAGUGGGAGUUCUGGAGCUAGAUGGCCUCAAUCACAAUGGCUUGUGGUAAGUAAUCUAUUUAUGAGUAAUUGUUCUAUUCUAUAAGCAUUUUAUCAGUUUUUAAUUGUGCCUUUAGAAAUAUUUGGAUAUUCAAAUCGUUACUUGAUCCGUAUUUGAUUAUGUUUUUAGAAGUUUUUAAUUGGUUGCUUAAUUUGAUUCACUCUGAGCAAUUGAUCUUUGUUACCGCUCCUCUUCUUGAUUUGGAAAAGGUUCCCACUAUUCUAUUAUAUUAUAAUAGCAAUUGCUUAAUGUUUUCAGAUUGCAACCGUGAAAUCAAUCAUAACUUCCAAAUUAUUUUAUCUUUGGCUCUAUCGCUACCAGCGCGUCGAGGAAUGGAAAAUGCUCAAAAGAGGGUUCCACAAUCCUCAACUUGAGGUGCAUCGAUGUCCAGGUUACCUCUUCUUCCACUUUUUAAACCAAAAAAACUAUUAGGUUUGGCAAACCAUGCUCAUGGCGUGCACCAUCGACUAUUGUUGCGCUGCCUUUAAGUUAACAUUUACGUAUUUUAGCUUUAUAUCUACCAAAAGGAGCCUAGCUAAAAACCUCUGUAUCUUACCCCACUGGAACUCUCUUUCUUCAUAACCGCGACUGCCGCAGUCACCGAAUUGCCAAUAAGGCCUCUUUUAAGAAACCUAUUCUUGGUGGGUCUUACACACUCAAUCACUCUCUGUUCUAUCUUUUGAUUAUUUAUUUUUGGUUUUAUCUUAUAGUCUAUAUACAUUUUCUUUUGAAUCACAAAGGUUGAACCGCUGAAUAGAAUUUUAUAAUCAGGCAGUAUAAAAUGAGUUAUGACUUGUUAAAUUUCUAUUAUGAGUUUUUGUUUGAAUUUGGAUCUUAAGUUGUGACAUUAAAAUUAUGAAUUUUUUCAUUUGUUUUAAAAUGACAUUUAUAUUGUUUUUACGCACAUGUACAAGUGUUUUAGUAGGAGAAUGUAGGAUCAUAAUAUGAUGCCCAAGUCAGGAGUUUUUGCCACUUCCUGAUCUUACGUAGAAUCCCUUGACGCCCUUAUGCAUGAGUCAGUACCCUAAGUUAACAAAUUUAUUACGUCUUUGAAAAUCUGUGCAUCAAACAAGUAAGAAUUAUAAUCCUAAUCUGUGAACAAUUCAAGAACGUCAUUUUUAUUUUUUUUCAAUUUCAGAAGUUAUGCAUCUAUAUAACAACUGUUUCAUUGUAUUAUAUGUUAUUUGUUAAGAGAGGAAAGAUAGGAGAAAACUGGAGUGAUGGUACACUAUAAUGUCUUGUCUUCAAAACUGUAAUUAGAAAUUAGUUAUCAUACUGGUGUGGAAGUUGGAAGAUUAAAUGUAUGUGAUGUUGUCAAUUUGUAAUUGUUGAGAUGUUUUACUAUUUUUCUUAGAUGAAUCAUGCCAUCGCAUUGUGACUGUUGUUAAGAGGUUGGAUAUCUCAGUAAUGCCAUUGUGGCUUCUUUAUUGCUCAUACAUUUGAAUUUUUUGUUAGGCAUAAUUAGUAUAAUGCUCAUACAUUUGAAUUUUCUAUCAAGCAUAAAUAGUAUAAUGCUUUUCCUUUGAAUUCUAGUGCUAAUCUCAACAUGUAGUGUCAGGCUGUUGCUCUGCUUUGGAGUUUGAAUAGCUGAAACUAAUUGGCUUUGAAGGACAAGAAGGUGAACUUAUUUUUGAUGAUAUUUUCAUGGUUGAGAAUGUAGACCCGGAUGGUAAAAAGUAUGACAACGGUACGAGCACCUCUUAUUUCUUUGUAUCAUUUCAUUUCAUUUUUUUUAAAGAUCAAUCUACUUUAUAGUAUGGGUCCCUUGGAUAUGCAAAGCUAUCUUAUUGAGUUGAUAAUGUGAUAUUAAUACUUGGGAGAAGUAGUGUUGUAUGAUUUUUAACUUGAAAGUUGCCUCAACACGAAUAAUCGAUUAUUAGAAACUAUGACUCUAUUCUUUUUAUUGUUAGCGCUGUGGUAUUUUAUUAUUAUCUGAAAUCAUAAUGGGUUUUCAGAUUGAUAAAUAAAAUGUUAGUUUUAUUAUCUUUGAACUAUAUUUCUAAAUUUUAAAUAAGCUUUUGCUGGUUUUCAAUAAAAUAAAAUCUUUACAGGAUUGUUUCUCACAUAGGUAUAAGUCUAACUUGACUGUAACUGGUAGAUUCUUGCAGAAUCUAGAGGAGACCUUUUACUUGAU
rnacentral:lncRNA from 1 species